AUUGAACGCUGGCGGCAUGCCUUACACAUGCAAGUCGAACGGCAGCGGGGAGAAGCUUGCUUUUCCUGUCGGCGAGUGGCGAACGGGUGAGUAAUACAUCGGAACGUGCCCUGUAGUGGGGGAUAACUAGUCGAAAGAUUAGCUAAUACCGCAUACGACCUGAGGGUGAAAGUGGGGGACCGCAAGGCCUCAUGCUAUAGGAGCGGCCGAUGUCUGAUUAGCUAGUUGGUGGGGUAAAGGCCUACCAAGGCGACGAUCAGUAGCUGGUCUGAGAGGACGAUCAGCCACACUGGGACUGAGACACGGCCCAGACUCCUACGGGAGGCAGCAGUGGGGAAUUUUGGACAAUGGGCGAAAGCCUGAUCCAGCAAUGCCGCGUGUGUGAAGAAGGCCUUCGGGUUGUAAAGCACUUUUGUCCGGAAAGAAAUGGCUCUGGUUAAUACCUGGGGUCGAUGACGGUACCGGAAGAAUAAGGACCGGCUAACUACGUGCCAGCAGCCGCUGUAA
rnacentral:rRNA from 1 species